AGCCGUGUCAGCCGGCUGGAAACCGGCAACGCGUCUAAGACGCGCCGGAGGGUCCCGGGUUCAAGUCCCGGCCCGGGGACCA
rnacentral:tRNA from 1 species